GAAAAUAUGGCACAUUACUGACCUUGCCCUUUGUUAGUUUCUAUUUUUUCUUAUAUUGGAUUCUUGACUCUAAGACGCUGGAGCUGAAUGCUCUGCUGGGAGGAAGCACUCAUUCUCUGGCAAUGCUGACGGGAGUGGAAAACAAGCAGGAAAGCACAGCCGCCGCCUUCAUCUUGCCUUCCCAUCGCUCACUGGCAGCAUGGCUCGAUGAGCAGUGCUAGGUCCAUGCUCAAGAUCUGAACCUGUGAACCCCAGGCCACCAAAGCAGACUGCACGGACUUAACCAGCACGCCACUGGGCCAGCCCCUAGAGAUUUAUUUUUAAGGACAGGUUUUCAAUUAUAUUUUUUUAAAAUUUUUAUUCUGUUGUGGUUAGAAUACAACAUAGAUCUACUCUCUUAACAAAUGUAUAUGUAUAAAAUAAAUUAUUGUUUGUGGUAGUCUUUGAGUUUAAUUUUUUUUGCCUCUCUUUUAUAAUUUAUUGAGAUAGAUGUUUAGCUCAUUGAUUUUCAGCUAUUUUAUUUACUAACACAUAUUUUAAAACUAUAACCUCUCUCUAGGCAGUUUUAACUAUAUCAGAAUUUUAAAUUCAGAAUCACUAUAUAUUAAUGAUGAAUUUAAAGUUUCUAAAUUAUGGAAUAUUUCUUUGUAUUUCUACUUGCCUAAACAUUUACUGCAUGUGAUGUUAAUAGAACUUCAACUGUUUGCUUUGGUUAGUAUUUUCAUGCUAUACUUUAUAGUACAUAUUUGCAUUCUUUGACUUCUAGUCUUGCUUAUCCUUAUGUUUUAGAGUUUUUUUCUCUUGUCCAUACUGAGUGAUUGUAUAUUGUUCUUUCAGUUGUUAUUGUUGUUUGGACUACAAUGCAUAUCCCUUAACCAUUAGAAUUCUCCCCAGGC
rnacentral:lncRNA from 1 species